rnacentral:rRNA from 2 species
UAUACUGCAGUCGAGCGGACCGACGGGAGCUUGCUCCCUUAGGUCAGCGGCGGACGGGUGAGUAACACGUGGGUAACCUGCCUGUAAACUGGGAUAACUCCGGGAAACCGGGGCUAAUACCGGAUGCUUGAUUGAACCGCAGGGUUCAAUUAUAAAAGGGGGCUUUUAACUUCCACUUGCCGAUGGACCCCCGGCGCAAUAACUAGUUUGUGAGGUAACGGCUCAACCAGGGCAACAUUCGGAACCCACCUGAAAGGGUGAUCGGCCACCCUGGGACUGAAACCCGGCCCAAACCCCCACCGGAGGGAACAAUAGGGAAUCUUCCCCAAUGGAACAAAGUCUUACCGAACAACCCCCCGGGGGUUAAGAAGGUUUUCGGAACGUAAAACUCUUUUGAUAGGGAAAAACAAGUACCGUUCGGAUAGGGGGGCUCCUUGACCGAACCUAACCCGCAGGCCUCGGCUAAAUUCCUGCCAACAACCAAAGGCGG